rnacentral:rRNA from 1 species
GAUGAACGCUGGCGGCGUGCUUAACACAUGCAAGUCGAACGAAGAAGCCCAGCUUGCUGGGUGGAUUAGUGGCGAACGGGUGAGUAACACGUGAGUAACCUGCCCUUAACUCUGGGAUAAGCCUGGGAAACUGGGUCUAAUACCGGAUAGGAGCGCCUACCGCAUGGUGGGUGUUGGAAAGAUUUAUCGGUUUUGGAUGGACUCGCGGCCUAUCAGCUUGUUGGUGAGGUAAUGGCUCACCAAGGCGACGACGGGUAGCCGGCCUGAGAGGGUGACCGGCCACACUGGGACUGAGACACGGCCCAGACUCCUACGGGAGGCAGCAGUGGGGAAUAUUGCACAAUGGGCGAAAGCCUGAUGCAGCGACGCCGCGUGAGGGAUGACGGCCUUCGGGUUGUAAACCUCUUUCAGUAGGGAAGAAGCGAAAGUGACGGUACCUGCAGAAGAAGCACCGGCUAACUACGUG